rnacentral:lncRNA from 1 species
AUGGAUGUGAAUGUGAAUGAGCUGAGAGAUCAUGUUGACAGAAGAAAGAGAGCACAACCCGCCAUUGGCCAAAGAGAUCUUUGCCACUGUUGGGAGUGUGCUCUCUUUUCUUCUGUCAUCAUCUCUUGCAUUCCCACAUCUGUGAUGUUACCAGCACCGUCCGAUCUGCAUCUAUCUAACACAUAUGUAAGGUCUUCUCAUCAACAUUAUAUGUGUUAAUUUGAAUGCAAACUAAAACUUUCUUUCUUCUUGUGGAUCUGUAAAAAUAAUUCUAUGCAGAUGAUUCUGUAUAAGUUUUCCUUUAAAGGUAAACAGAAGAAAGAGGUAGCAGUUGUCACCAAUUGAAGCAAGGAUGUGUCAAUUUUGUACAAAUUAAUACUUUUCAAGAUGCAUGAGCAGAAGUUGGUGAUCUCUUAUUUACUUUCUGUCAAGUAGAAAAUUGCACCUUACAAGGAUACAUGUCAUUUUACCGCAGAAUAAGAGAGAGAGGAAAAAAAAAAAAACCCUAGCAGCACUCUGGUCCUCUUUCUCUUUGUCAAUAACCGACCGCAAGGAAGCUAAGGGGGGAGGUGGCCACUGCCCCUCCUCCCCUCUGCCCAUCUUCCCCUUCCUCUCCUCAUCUCCCUUUCUUUUUCUCCCAUCUUUUCCCUUCCUCUUAUCCCCUUUUCUCCUCCCAUUCCCCUCCCCAGAUAGUCUAGAUAUGUUUGGAUCUAGGUCUGUUUGUUUUGUUUGAUUGUUUUUGCAGUGUUCUAGGUGACUGGUAUUGUCUUUGUUCCCGCUGCGGCCACAAUAGUGAUGCUGGAUUGUGUCUCUUCUCGGGAGAGUUGUGAUACUUGGUGGCUGAUGUUUUGUCUCUAUUUCAAUGACGGCAGUAGUAGCGACGCUGGUGAUAGUUGUUGGGAUAUGGUGCUCUUCUCUACUUUGAGCCGGCCGAAGAACUAUGCUUGGCCAUAUGAGGUUUUCUUUGUCAGGUUUUGAGUUAAAGUGGAGUGCUUCUCAAGGGUCCUUUUAAUGUUGUUUCGGUGUUCCUCCUUCGUGUUCUCUCCUAGUUUUUGUUAUGGUAUGCCUUGCAGUUUGUGUGGGUGUCAAAAGACUAUGAUUUUGCUCAUAGAAGGCUUCUUUUGAUAGUUGGGAUAUUCUAUGGUCAUCUCCUGCGAGUUUACUAUUUGGGGUUUCUUGGUCCUCUCAUGUGGGUCUACUGUGUUGGUCUCUAGUUGCGUUUUGUGUUAGUUUUCGUUUUUGAUUUGUUCUUUUAUUGUAAUGAUUCAAAGUGACCUGAAUUG